rnacentral:lncRNA from 1 species
AAGAUUUAAAAUGUAAGUUUAAAUUCCAUUCUCAAGAAGGAACAUGGGGAUCAUUUUAAAAGCAUUAACUUCCUUGUCCUAUGCAGGAAAGGCCCCAGAAGAGCAGAGACUGAAGUCUCUACACAGAUUGAAUUGCAUUUUCUUCACUAUUUCAGUCAUUCUAGAAUGAUUCUAACAGUACAUUUCAGUAAAUUGUAUUAUACUUAGACCACCAGCAGAAAUCUGGAAUAAUUGGGUCGUUGAAGAAUAAACACUAAAGGCAGGACAAGGGGGUCAAUCGUGGAGCAAGAACUUCAUUCAGGAAACUGAGUCCAUAAAAGGCUCGGGCUCAGCCAGAGCAGGGCAGAGGGCAGAAGAUGGAGAGACAACAGGAGGACCAGCUGCAAAGAGGAGCUACCCUCUCUGCUGAGCACUUCAGAGGCCUGUAGAGAUGUCUGCACAGCCUGUGGAGAGGAGCCACCCUUUCCAGGGCCUCCUCGCUGCCACCCUCUCCAGGGCCGCCUGUCUGCUGAGAGCUGAACACUCAAUGGGAGGACUUGCCUACAGAAAGGAGUUAUCCACUGUGGGUCUCUUCUGAACUGUUCUAACACUAAAUAAAACUCCUCUUCGUCUUCUUCACCCUUCACUUGUCUGUGUACCUCAUU